AGUGAACGCUGGCGGUAGGCCUAACACAUGCAAGUCGAACGGCAGCACAGUAAGAGCUUGCUCUUACGGGUGGCGAGUGGCGGACGGGUGAGGAAUACAUCGGAAUCUACUUUUUCGUGGGGGAUAACGUAGGGAAACUUACGCUAAUACCGCAUACGACCUACGGGUGAAAGCAGGGGAUCUUCGGACCUUGCGCGAUUGAAUGAGCCGAUGUCGGAUUAGCUAGUUGGCGGGGUAAAGGCCCACCAAGCCGACGAUCCGUAGCUGGUCUGAGAGGAUGAUCAGCCACACUGGGACUGAGACACGGUCCAGACUCCUACGGGAGGCAGCAGUAGGGAAUCUUGCACAAUGGGCGAAAGCCUGAUGGAGCAAUGCCGCGUGAGUGAAGAAGGUCUUCGGAUUGUAAAGCUCUUUUGUUAGGGAAGAAAAAGUGAAGGUGAAAAUGUCGCUGUUUUGACGGUACCUAAAGAGAAAGCAACGGCUAACUACGUG
rnacentral:rRNA from 1 species